UACGUAGGGACCAAGCGUUGUUCGGAUUUACUGGGCGUAAAGGGCGCGUAGGCGGCAAUUCAAGUCAUCUGUGAAAUCUCCGGGCUUAACUCGGAACGGUCAGAUGAUACUGCUUUGCUAGAGUGCAGAAGGGGCAAUCGGAAUUCUUGGUGUAGCGGUGAAAUGCGUAGAUAUCAAGAGGAACACCGGUGGCGAAGGCGGCUUUCUGGGCCUUACCUGACGCUGAGGAGCGAAAGCUGGGGGAGCGAACAGG
rnacentral:rRNA from 1 species